rnacentral:rRNA from 1 species
UACGUAGGGUGCAAGCGUUGUCCGGAAUUAUUGGGCGUAAAGAGCUCGUAGGCGGCUUGUCGCGUCGACUGUGAAAACCCGCGGCUCAACCGUGUGGUCUGCAGUCGAUACGGGCAGGCUAGAGUUCGGUAGGGGAGACUGGAAUUCCUGGUGUAGCGGUGAAAAUGCGCAGAUAUCAGGAGGAACACCGGUGGCGAAGGCGGUGUUCUGGGCCUGUACUGACGCUGAUGCGCGAAAGCGUGGGGAGCGAACAGG